rnacentral:tRNA from 1 species
UAAACUAAUAGCCUUCAAAGCUAUAAAAAAAAGUUUUAAUCUUUUAAAUCUUA